rnacentral:lncRNA from 1 species
AUUACAUGUGGGUGCCAUUUAUGAUGGGAGAAGUGGUGUGUUGGAGCAAAGCUUCCACUGAAGAUAGGUCCUCAUCCUCCCACUGGGACUGGGAGGAAGAAGGAGGUUAUCUCCUUAAAUACUCAAUCUCCUUAAGGUUUGAGUUUCAAGGAGCCAAGGGAGAAAAGAAGGAGGAGGAGGCAGAGGAGGAGGAGGAGAAAGAAGAAGAAGGAGGAGGAGGAGGAGAAAGAAUUUUUUUUUUUUUUGAGACGGAGUCUCACUCUGUCGCUAGGCUGGAGUGCAGUGGCGCAAUCUCUGCUCAUUGUAACCUCCUCCUCCCGGGUUCAAGCGAUUCUCCUGCCUCAGUCUCCCGAGUAGGUGGGACCACAGGCAUGCACCAUCACGCCCAGCUAAUUUUUGCCUUUUUAGUAGAGAUGGGUUUUCACCAUGUUAGCCAGCAUGGUCUUGAUCUCUUGACCUCAUGAUCCACCCACCUCGGCCUCCCAAAGUGCUGGGACUACAGGUGUGAGCCACCGCGCCCAGCUGAAGAAGAAGAAAUUUUCAUCACGAUUGUCUACUGAUGAGAUGGUUGGUCUUAUUUUUUGUUUUUGGAAUUUCUCAGUAGUUUUAACUUUUCCUGCUUCUGUGCAUUUUGCUGUGUCACAUGGGACCUAAUCACUGUUGGACACUUUGGGACAAGCAGGAAACUGGUGUCAGUCCUCAAACCACAGAGUUGUUGAAGGAGCUCCNNNNNNNNNNNNNNNNNNNNNNNNNN